rnacentral:rRNA from 1 species
UACGUAGGGUGCAAGCGUUGUCCGGAUUUAUUGGGCGUAAAGAGCUCGUAGGCGGUUUGUCGCGUCGGAUGUGAAAACCCAGGGCUCAACCCUGGGCCUGCAUUCGAUACGGGCAGACUAGAGUAUGGCAGGGGAGACUGGAAUUCCUGGUGUAGCGGUGAAAUGCGCAGAUAUCAGGAGGAGCACCGGUGGCGAAGGCGGGUCUCUGGGCAGUAACUGACGCUGAGGAGCGAAAGCGUGGGGAGCGAACAGG